rnacentral:misc_RNA from 1 species
AAAGAACGUCGCAUAAAGAGCAAUGUGCUGAGAGGUUAGCAGCUGAAGAUGGAAGUUCAGAUAAAGAUGCAGAAGUUCGAUACUCUGAUCAAGCAGUUUUAGCUAAUUUAGACUGGGGAAUUGAUGCACUUGAAGAGGCAAUCAACACAUCAAACAUUGAAACUAAGAUGGCUAGAUUAGAUUACGCGGAAAAAAUGUUACAAGUGUGUGCUAUGUUGGACUCUAGCCAGAAAACUGCAGGGGUGCCUAAUUUCUAUCUAUCUGCUUGGGCUCAUUUGAACCUAUCUUACUUAUGGAAGUUGAGAAACAACGUAAACAAUACGGUACUUCAUAUCCUGGAGAUGUUUAUUAUUGAUCCUUUCUUCUCGCGGAUAGAUUUUGCACCUGAGCUUUGGAAAUGUCUGUUUCUUCCACACAUGAGCUCAAUUGUAGGGUGGUACUCGGAGGAGAGACACCGG